GCACAGUUGCCAGCAAAUGCCAGUCUUGCUGCUAUGGCUGCUGCUGCAGGACUCAAUCCAGGCCUGAUGGCACCCUCACAGUUUGCUGCUGGAGGUGCCUUACUCAGUCUCAAUCCGGGGACCCUGGGUGGGGCUCUCAGCCCGGCCCUGAUGAGCAACAGUACACUGGCAACCAUUCAAGCUCUUGCUUCUAGUGGCUCUCUUCCAAUAACAUCUCUGGAUGCAACUGGGAACCUGGUAUUCGCCAAUGCAGGAGGAGCCCCCAACAUCGUGACUGCCCCUCUGUUCCUGAACCCUCAGAACCUCUCUCUGCUCACCAGCAACCCAGUAAGCUUGGUUUCUGCCGCUGCAGCCUCCACAGGGAACUCCGCACCUACAGCCAGCCUUCAUGCCUCCUCCACCUCAACUGAGUCCAUCCAGAACUCUCUGUUCACAGUGGCCUCUGCCAGCGGGGCUGCCUCCACCACCACAGCUGCCUCCAAGGCACAGUGAGCUGGACGCAGAGCUGGGGCUUUCCUCACUGCAGGGUGAUAGGCUGGCUAUCAGCUGGCUAAAACAUGACGCCUGUCAUUGGCUUCCUCCCACCAUGUUGUGAGGAUGAGGAAGACAUGGAGAGAAGAAAAAAAUUACACAUAACAACAAAAAAAAAGAAUGGAGACAGGACAACGUUUGCCUAAUUUUAUAAUAAAAACAAUGUCUUUUCAGGAUUGCUUCAUGGAUUGGAGAACUUUCUAACCAAAAA
rnacentral:lncRNA from 1 species